CUUCUUCUUCCCACCAUCGCCAGCCUCCUUCUAUUUUGUCUCCUUCUCCAUUGAGGAAUUCUCAUCCGCCUCGUCACAUUUCUCCGGGAACUCCUCCUCUUUCUUAUCAUCAGUCUUAUCAACCUCAUCACAAACCUCAAACUCAACAUCACCAAAACCACAACCACCACCACCACCAUCACCAGCAGCAGCAGCAGCAGCGGAACUCUCUCAGUCCCCCUCAGCAGAUGCCGGUGCCUCCUCCUAGGAUGGCAUCCCCUUCGGACGUGUUUAGAGCAAAUCUACCUGGAUGGCCGUAUACCAAUAAUACGCAGACUCAGACGACGCCGGCGUGUCAAGAGCACCAGUCGGGUUUAGAAGAUUGAUGGUUUUUUUGUUGUUGCUGUUGUUGCUUUGGAAUGAUGAUUUGCUUUUUCAUGGCUUGAUAAUUUCAGGUGAUAAUAGAGCAGAUAAAAACCAAGGCAGCAAAAGAGAAAAAUAACGACGGCGGGGAAAGAUAGUCGUAGGCAUAUGUUACGUUAGAGGAUUUCAUUGGAAGAGAAAACAAAGAGAGAGAAAAAAAAAAAAAAAAAAUGAUGAUAUCGCUGGGUGGUUAAAUCGGUGCCGGUGCAUGAGGAGUUGGUCCGUCGGUCGGUCACGGACGGCUUACAGCAAGAAAAGGGAUACAGUAGUAAAAUAACCGUGUAAGGUACUAGAGUGAGUGAUUGAGUGGGUAGAGAAAGAAGAAGAGAAGGAUCGGUUAUCUUAUUACUUUGUCUCAACGGUACGCUUUCCUUUAUUUCUCUUUAUCACUUUUAUUAUUAUUCACCUACUUGGAGUGUGGUGAAGGUCACAUAUACUCUCUACUCUUAUUUCUGGUUCUGGUUCGGUCCCUGUGUGUGUACUACUUAUCUAUCUUAUUUAGAUUUUAUGGAUGGAUGAAAAUCCG